rnacentral:lncRNA from 1 species
AUGGGGUCAACGGGGUUAUGGGAUCAUGGGUCAAUGGGGUCAUUGGGGUCAAUGGGGUCAAUGGGGUCAAUGGGGUCAAUGGGGUUAUGGGUCAAUGGGGUCAUGGGGGUCAUGGGUCAAUGGGGUCAUGGGGUCAAUGGGGUUAUGGGGUCAUGGG